UACAGAGGUCUCGAGCGUUAGGCGGAAUCACUGGGCUUAAAGCGUGUGUAGGUGGAUGCCUAAGUACCUUGUGAAAUCCCACAGCUUAACUGUGGAACUGCUUGGUAUACUGGGUGUCUUGAGUCACUCAGGGGCGAGCGGAACAAAUGGUGGAGCGGUGAAAUGCGUAGAUAUCAUUUGGAACGCCAAUGGUGAAAACAACUCGCUGGGGAAGUGCUGACGCUGAGACACGAAAGCCAGGGGAGCGAACGGG
rnacentral:rRNA from 1 species